UCAAAUUUGAAAUCUGGCACCUUCGGUGUCCGAGUUGUAAUUUGAAGAAGGUAACUUUGGAGUUGGCUCUUGUCUAUGUUCCUUGGAACAGGACGUCACAGAGGGUGAGAAUCCCGUGCGAUGAGAUGUCCAACUCUAUGUAAAGUGCUUUCGAAGAGUCGAGUUGUUUGGGAAUGCAGCUCUAAGUGGGUGGUAAAUUCCAUCUAAAGCUAAAUAUUGGCGAGAGACCGAUAGCGAACAAGUACAGUGAUGGAAAGAUGAAAAGAACUUUGAAAAGAGAGUGAAAAAGUACGUGAAAUUGUUGAAAGGGAAGGGUUUGAGAUCAGACUUGGUAUUUUGUAUGUCUUGCUUUCGGGUGGGGCCUCUGCAGUUUACUGGGCCAGCAUCGGUUUGGACGGUAGGAUAAUGACAUUGGAAUGUGGCACUACUUCGGUGGUGUGUUAUAGACUUUGUUGAUACUGCCUGUCUAGACCGAGGACUGCGUCUUUGACUAGGAUGCUGGCAUAAUGAUCCUAAACCGCCCGUCUUG
rnacentral:rRNA from 1 species